rnacentral:rRNA from 1 species
UACGAGGGGGGCAAGUGUUGUUCGGAAUCACUGGGCGUAAAGGGAGCGUAGGCGGAUGUUUAAGUUGGGUGUUUAAAACCGAGGCCUAACCUCGGAGCGGCAUCCAAAACUGGGCAUCUUGAAUAGGUCAAAGGCUGGUGGAAUUGGAGGUGUAGCGGUGGAAUGCGUAGAGAUCUCCAAGAACACCUAUUGCGAAGGCAGCCAGCUGGGACCAUAUUGACGCUGAGGCUCGAAAGCAUGGGGAGCAAACAGG